UACGAGUACCCCAAGCGUUAUCCGGAAUCCUUGGGCGUAAAGGGUGUGUAGGUGGCGAUGCUAGUCUUCUGUUAAAACUUCGGGCUUAACCCAAAGCUUGCAGUGGAAACGGCAUUGCUUGAGGAUGCAAGAGGUGAAUGGAACUCAUGGAGUAGGGGUAAUAUCCGUUGAUAUCAUGGGGAACACCAAAAGCGAAGGCAAUUCACUGGCGCAUUCCUGACACUGAAACACGAAAGCGUGGGUAGCGAAUGGG
rnacentral:rRNA from 1 species